CGGUUUCUUAAGUCUGAUGUGAAAGCCCACGCCUCAACCGUGGAGGGUCAUUGGAAACUGGGGAACUUGAGUGCCGAAGAGAAAAGCGGAAUUCCACGUGUAGCGGUGAAAUGCGUAGAGAUGUGGAGGAACACCAGUGGCGAAGGCGGCUUUUUGGUCUGUAACUGACGCUGAGGCGCGAAAGCGUGGGGAGCAAACAGGAUUAGAUACCCUGGUAGUCCACGCCGUAAACGAUGAGUGCUAAGUGUUAGAGGGUUUCCGCCCUUUAGUGCUGGAGCUAACGCAUUAAGCACUCCGCCUGGG
rnacentral:rRNA from 1 species